rnacentral:rRNA from 1 species
AUUGAACGCUGGCGGCAUGCUUUACACAUGCAAGUCGAACGGUAACAGGGUGCUUGCACCGCUGACGAGUGGCGAACGGGUGAGUAAUGCGUCGGAACGUGCCGAGUAGUGGGGGAUCACCUAGCGAAAGUUGUGCUAAUACCGCAUACGUACGGCGGUAGACAGUGGGGGACUUUCGGCCCUCACGCUAUUCGAGCGGCCGACGUCUUAUUAGCUCGUAGGUGAGGUAAAGGCUCACCGAGGCGGCGAUCAGUAGCGGGUCUGAGAGGAUGAUACGCCACACUGAGCUGAGACAGGACCCAGACUCCUACGGGAGGCAGCGGAGGGGAAUUUUGGACAAUGGGCGAAAGCCUGAUCCAGCCAGGCCGCGUGUCUGAAGAAGGCCUUCGGGUUGUAAAGGACUUUUGUCAGGGAGGAAAACCCUAGCGUUAAUACCGCUGGGGGAUGACAGUACCUGAAGAAUAAGCACCGGCUAACUACGUGCCAGCCGCCGCGGUAAGAC